ACCCAUUGUGAUUUUGUACAUCUACUUUAUUUAUCUAAGUAAAAUUGUUGAGUUUAGACUUAUCUCAACGCAAGGAAACCAUUUGGUUGCUCAACUGAUAAGUAGCAAAAAAAAAUAUGUCGUUUACUUCGUUAAGUAUGUUUAUCAGGCUAGUUGCGUAAAAAUAGAACAAAAUAAAAAACGUACAGUUGGUGUACUAAGCUAAGAGUACGUAUUCAGUUACCAGAUGAAGUAGUGGCUCUUCAUUUGUUGAAUAGCAUUCGGUGCACACAGUAACAGUGUCGUGGGAAGGUAUACAUCAUCUACCACACUCAAUGUGUCUUUGUGAUUUGUAUGUUGUAUAUCAUAAUAACUUACCUUACUGUGUGAACAAGUACACCGAGACUAUCCGCCGCCGUCCAUAAUUUUGAACUACUAGUCAGAAGAAAACAACUAGCCAGUUGAACUGACUAGUGGUAGAGGAAAGACAGUCAGCCAGUUGAACCACUAGUCAGAGGAAAGACAGCCAGCAGUACCCUACCAUCCACACUAAGGAAUUGACUGUCACUCUUAUAAGAAAUCCACGGCUUAAAGUGCAGGGAAUAUUUUGUGAUAUCGAAUACUCGAACCGGGUUUGCCAGCUCCGAAAUCCAGAGUUCUACCACAAGGCUAACACACAUCUGCUAAUGUAUUGAAGGAUCGAGUUCUACUUCCAAUUUUUCAUUUCUUAUUAUUUUCGUGCUUAUCAGCGAUUGGAUGAGCUUGCCCAGAUAACGAUACUUUUGGUGAGUGAUUAGAAUUCUGCAGAUGUAGAAAAGAUGUUCAGUUCACUAACGAAAUUUUAAACUAAUUAUUUUAUUCCACUAUAGUGAAAAAGUUCAGAAUCAUGUCAGUAAUCCUUUACUUAUAUCAAGAUGAUAAAAAAGCUGAACUUUCAAGACAAGUGAUAUCAACGUCGUUUUUAAAAUCGAAGGUCAUCUUAUUAGUAUAUUUAAAACUAUUGACUCCCGAUUCUGUUUGUUUUCCAGUUGAAUGAAGCUUUCAAGAUGAUAUAAAACUCGUGACGUAACAUCGUGGGAAGAAUUACAGCAAGCAAUUAAGAAAUAUCGCAAUAUUGAAAUCAGCAACGAUAAGCAAAUGGCAUUGCAUUAUGAUGAAAGAUUUUCAAAUUCACCUAAAUAUCCAUAUAGCCUAGUCAGGAAAAAAAAACGACAACCAUACCUUAAUUUACAAAGGGAGAAUCUGUGCUUGCACAUCAAUACUCGUCCAGACAACUAUAAAAUUUUGGUGAACUUUUCCAGUUUCUGACCAUAUGUCAAGAGUGGUAUUUCAUGACCAGGAUGGUUGUUGGGUGGAGGGUUUGCUGAGGGACAGGCGGGUCCCGUGUGCAACUUCCUGUCGCCGAGGGCGGUGACUGUUGGCCGUGGAGGGUGCCAAGUGGCGCGUGCUCGCCCGCUGUUCUUCCAAGCAACCGGAUUUCCCGGGACUGCCUGGAAUUGAGAUCUUGUUUAUGCAAAAGUUGCUUUUAGGCGUAGAUUUUGAAAAAUAGGUGUAACAGUAAUUUUUAUGCUUUUUAUACAAACGUAAUCAAAUAUAAAAACAGUGACUUUUUAAAAUAUGUUGUCGUUUUCGCAUGUCGUAAUAUUAAAAAGUCAAAUGUUUCAUUUAUGUUCGUAAUGAAUCAUAAUUAAAUAUUAAAGCACAAAACAUAGCCAUGCACUAAAUACAAGAUAUUGUAGAACCUUGAAAGUUAUUUUUCAUGAAGUUCAUGAUUAUUCUUACAGAAAUGUCUAUUAUAUUUGUUUUCACAGCGACGAAUAUUAAAGUGGGGAGUCAGUGCAGAAGUAGCUCGUACAAACCUUGGUGAUAUUCUGAGGCUUACGUCGCCAUUACAUCACCAGAUAACUUACACACCCUGAACGUAGAGCAGAUGAGGCGAUAGAAGCGUGGCAGACACACCAUUUCGUUCUGUGUUAGGACUAGCAUGUGGUGAGCAGCCAAGGAGGAGAUGAUUGAGAGAGAUACUGGGGAGGUGGGGGGAGAGCUAAUGCAAGGGGCUAUGUGUUUCUAACAAUCUCUGCUUACAGGAGUAGCAUGCAUACCGGGAGAAACUAAGCGAUUGCCUGUAUUCUUAAAAACGUUGAUGUCGUUUUUGAGGGCACAAGUAUCUAAUUAAUUAUUUUUUUAUGUACGGUUAAGAUACUCGUCUUUGAACAGAAAUUCGGGGUAAUAUACAAGUAUUGUUAAAGUAAAAAUAUAACACUGUAUUUUAAUCAGACCUUGUUUGCGUUAGAAAAGGUAAACAAGACAUACAGAUGUUUGUCAAAGUGGAUUAAAUAUAUUUAGUACGUCACAAUUUUUCUUCAGUUACAAUUAGAGACGCCCCCCCCCAGUGCCACAGCGGUAUGUCUGCGGACUUACAACGCUAGAAUCCGGGUUUCGAUACCCGUGGUGG
rnacentral:misc_RNA from 1 species